rnacentral:rRNA from 1 species
GAUGAACGCUGGCGGCGUGCCUAAUACAUGCAAGUCGAGCGAACGGACGAGAAGCUUGCUUCUCUGAUGUUAGCGGCGGACGGGUGAGUAACACGUGGAUAACCUACCUAUAAGACUGGGAUAACUUCGGGAAACCGGAGCUAAUACCGGAUAAUAUUUUGAACCGCAUGGUUCAAAAGUGAAAGACGGUCUUGCUGUCACUUAUAGAUGGAUCCGCGCUGCAUUAGCUAGUUGGUAAGGUAACGGCUUACCAAGGCAACGAUGUAUAGCCGACCGGUGAGGGUGAUCGUCCACCCUGGAACUGAAACACGGUCCAGACCCCUACGGUAGGCAGCAGUAGGGAAUCUUCCGCAAUGGGCGAAAGCCUGACGUAGCAACGCCGCGUGAGUGAUGAAGGUCUUCGGAUCGUAAAACUCUGUUAUUAGUGAAGAACAUAUGUGUAAGUAACUGUGCACAUCUUGACGGUACCUAAUCAGAAAGCCACGGCUAACUACGUG